UUUUAAUAAAUUUAAUUAUUAAUAAAAUCUGCUCAAUGAAAAUUAAAUAGCCGCAACCUAGUUUGUGCUAAGGUAGCAUAAUCAUUUGUUUUUUAAUUAAAAACUAGAACGAAAGAUUUAACACUUAAAUAACUAUAAAAUUUUUCUAUAUAAAUUUAUUUCAAAUAUUAUAAAAUAUUUAUUAAAAAAAAAGACGAUAAGACCCUAUUAAACUUUACUGAAGUUUAACUGGGGAAGUUAAUUAAUUAUAAUUUUAAUAAAAUUUUUAAUUUAAAAGAUCUAAUAAAAUUAAUUUAAUGAAUAAGUUACUAUAGGGAUAACAGCGUAAUAAUUUUUUAAAGAUCUUAUAAAAAAAAUAAUUUUACGACCUCGAUGUUGAAUAAAAAUCUAUUAAAAGCAAUAAUUUAAUAAGAAAGUCUGUUCGACUUAUAAUAAUUUACA
rnacentral:rRNA from 1 species